UCGCCCGGUUUUUACAAAAACAUUGUCUCAUGAACAACAUUGAGAUAAUACCUGCCCAGUGACAAACUGUUCAACGGCCGCGGUAUCCUAACCGUGCAAAGGUAGCAUAAUCACUUGCCUAUUAAUUGUAGGCUAGAAUGAAAGGGUUAACGAAAUAAAGACUGUCUCAAUUAGUAAACUAAAAAUUAUUCUCUAUCUGAAGAAAGGUAGAUAGCCUCGAAGGACAAGAAGACCCUAUAGAGCUUAAUUUUACUUAUAGAAUUAUACUAUAUAAAAUAUUCGGUUGGGGCGACCCAGGGUAAAACAAUCACCCAUACUAUAAAAGAUAUAUUAAUCAAAUAGCUGACCCUUUAAAGAUCACAAGAACAAGCUACCUUAGGGAUAACAGGCUAAUCCCACUCAAGAGUCCUUAUCAACAGUGGGGUUUGGCACCUCGAUGUUGGCUUAGGGUAUCUAUAUGGCGCAAAAGUUAUAUAAAGAUGGUUUGUUCAACCAGUAAUAUCCCUACGUGAUCUGAUUUCCAAACCGGA
rnacentral:rRNA from 1 species